rnacentral:piRNA from 2 species
UAGGAAAGGCUACAUGGAUUUCUAAUGGU